rnacentral:rRNA from 1 species
GUCUAUGGCCAAGCCACCCUGAACAUGCCCAAUCUCAUCCGAUCUCGGAAGCUAAGCAGGAUCAGGCCUGAUUAGUACUUGGAUGGGAGACCACCUAGAAAUACUAGGUGCUGUAGGCA